UACGUAGGGUGCGAGCGUUGUCCGGAAUUACUGGGCGUAAAGAGCGUGUAGGCGGCCAGACAGGUCUGCUGUGAAAACUCGAGGCUCAACCUCGAGAUGUCGGCGGAAACCGUCUGGCUAGAGUCCGGAAGAGGAGAGUGGAAUUCCUGGUGUAGCGGUGAAAUGCGCAGAUAUCAGGAAGAACACCUAUGGCGAAGGCAGCUCUCUGGGACGGUACUGACGCUGAGACGCGAAAGCGUGGGGAGCGAACAGG
rnacentral:rRNA from 1 species